UAGCUCGGUUGGUAGAGCAUGGUGUUUGCAACGCCAGGGUUGUGGGUUCGAUUCCCAC
rnacentral:tRNA from 1 species